rnacentral:sRNA from 1 species
GUUACUAAGUAUGAAGGGACGAUGGGUGACUGAUGGAUAUCUAAUCUGAUUUCUAUGCAAAUGAACAUUUUUGCAAAACGGAAAUUGGAUUCGUCUGCCCAUUUAUCCCAUCAUCGUAACUCUUUUUGUACAUAAAGAGCUUUUUUGUGAUGACUAUAAAUGAUCAGUGAAUCCUUCCGUACAAAAACGGAGGAUUUUUUU